rnacentral:rRNA from 1 species
UGGGGAAUUUUGGACAAUGGGCGCAAGCCUGAUCCAGCCAUGCCGCGUGCGGGAAGAAGGCCUUCGGGUUGUAAACCGCUUUUGUCAGGGAAGAAAUCUUCUGAGUUAAUACCUCGGGAGGAUGACGGUACCUGAAGAAUAAGCACCGGCUAACUACGUGCCAGCAGCCGCGGUAAUACGUAGGGUGCAAGCGUUAAUCGGAAUUACUGGGCGUAAAGCGUGCGCAGGCGGUUUUGUAAGACAGAGGUGAAAUCCCCGGGCUCAACCUGGGAACUGCCUUUGUGACUGCAAGGCUUGAGUGCGGCAGAGGGGGGAUGGAAUUCCGCGUGUAGCAGUGAAAUGCGUAGAUAUGCGGAGGAACACCGAUGGCGAAGGCAAUCCCCUGGGCCUGCACUGACGCUCAUGCACGAAAGCGUGGGGAGCAAACCAGGAUUAGAUAGCCCUGGUAGUCCACGCCCUAAAACGAUGUCAACUGGUUGUUGGGAAGGUUCCUUCUCAGUAACGUAGCUAACGCGUGAAGUUGACCGCCUGGGGAGUACGGCCGCAAGGUUGAAACUCAAAUGAAUUGACGGGGG